AUUGAACGCUGGCGGCAGGCCUAACACAUGCAAGUCGAGCGGCAGCGGAAAGUAGCUUGCUACUUUGCCGGCGAGCGGCGGACGGGUGAGUAAUGUCUGGGAAACUGCCUGAUGGAGGGGGAUAACUACUGGAAACGGUAGCUAAUACCGCAUAACGUCGCAAGAUCAAAGAGGGGGACCUUCGGGCCUCUUGCCAUCAGAUGUUCCCAGAUGGGAUGAGCUAGUAGGUGGGGUAACGGCUCACCUAGGCGACGAUCCCUGGCUGGUCUGAGAGGAUGACCAGCCACACUGGAACUGAGACACGGUCCAGACUCCUACGGGAGGCAGCAGUGGGGAAUAUUGCACAAUGGGCGCAAGCCUGAUGCAGCCAUGCCGCGUGUAUGAAGAAGGCCUUCGGGUUGUAAAGUACUUUCAGCGGGGAGGAAGGUGUUGAGGUUAAUAACCUCAGCAAUUGACGUUACCCGCAGAAGAAGCACCGGCUAACUCCGUGCCAGCAGCCGCCGUAAAAC
rnacentral:rRNA from 1 species